rnacentral:rRNA from 1 species
GGCGUGCCUAAUACAUGCAAGUCGAACGCUUCUUUUUCCACCGGAGCUUGCUCCACCGGAAAAAGAGGAGUGGCGAACGGGUGAGUAACACGUGGGUAACCUGCCCAUCAGAAGGGGAUAACACUUGGAAACAGGUGCUAAUACCGUAUAACAAUCGAAACCGCAUGGUUUUGAUUUGAAAGGCGCUUUCGGGUGUCGCUGAUGGAUGGACCCGCGGUGCAUUAGCUAGUUGGUGAGGUAACGGCUCACCAAGGCCACGAUGCAUAGCCGACCUGAGAGGGUGAUCGGCCACAUUGGGACUGAGACACGGCCCAAACUCCUACGGGAGGCAGCAGUAGGGAAUCUUCGGCAAUGGACGAAAGUCUGACCGAGCAACGCCGCGUGAGUGAAGAAGGUUUUCGGAUCGUAAAACUCUGUUGUUAGAGAAGAACAAGGAUGAGAGUAACUGUUCAUCCCUUGACGGUAUCUAACCAGAAAGCCACGGCUAACUACGUGCCAGCAGCCGCGGUAAUACGUAGGUGGCAAGCGUUGUCCGGAUUUAUUGGGCGUAAAGCGAGCGCAGGCGGUUUCUUAAGUCUGAUGUGAAAGCCCCCGGCUCAACCGGGGAGGGUCAUUGGAAACUGGGAGACUUGAGUGCAGAAGAGGAGAGUGGAAUUCCAUGUGUAGCGGUGAAAUGCGUAGAUAUAUGGAGGAACACCAGUGGCGAAGGC